AUGCAUAGCAGUUCUUUCUGCCAGACUAGUGUGGGAAGGGCAUUCAAGGCCGAGGGGGCAGCUCGGAGAAAGCCAGGGAGGUACGAGAAGCGCAAGCGUGGAGGAAGGGAGACGUCAGGGAAGACCCACUUGUCAACUGUCAGGGGAGAGCGGCCGGCGAGGCGCGGAGGCCUGUGUGGCUGGAGGUCCCGGGCUGGGGCCGCUGAACAACCGCCAGCAGGGCGUGUUGUGCUCCAGCUGGGGGAGAAAAGCGGGGCAAAAUACGAAACUGGUGGGGGCCAGCGGGACCCCCAAGUCGGCCCGUCCCUCGCCUCCCGCGCCGGGCCAGGCCCCGCGUCCCUCCCGCCGCCGCCCCCUUCUUGGCAGCAGGUCCCCUGGCCGCGGGCUCCGGGGUUGGGCGGGCCCAGAGGACCGGGCUCCCAGCCCGCGGGCCGCCAGCCAGACGCGCCGGGAAGGAAGCGCCUUGUAUGGGCCUGGGGCCGGGAGGAAGCGCCUUGUAGGGCUCGGGGAGGAAGUGCCAUACAUGGCGCGGGGCGGACGGGGGCGGGCCAGGGGCGGGAGCCCGCCCGGGAUGGAGCCGUUUCCGCCGGGGCCUCCGCGGGCCCCGAGCCUCGCAGCCGCGGGCGGGGCGCAGGGGCUCCGGGAUUCUAUGCGGCCUCGACGCCUGCGGGCUGGGCGGGAAUUCCAGCAAGGCCGCGCGCGCUCUGUGGCCUUGGGUGCAACGCCUUUGUCUCUGAGCCUCGGGCCCUCUCCAGAGGCUGUGGUGAAACGAGAGGCUGCGGGGGAGGCCCGCGUGGCGGCUCCGGGCCCUCGCAGUUGCAGGCUGGAGGGGCGGUUUCCCAGAUGCCGGCUGGACGUGCCUGUUUAGCCUCUUCCCAGCCGUCUCGGGCCCGGGAAGCCUGUACGAAAGGCAGAACGAGGAGCGGACGGCUUCGGGAGAGAUCUUUCCAGAAGGAAAUAGGGCAUCCUGAAUCUGGAGUUUUCCUUUCCAGUUCAGACAUUGGGGUUCCAGCCCCAGGGUCUCCCCUUGCCAGUCGGGUGAUGCUGGGACGGGUACUCACCUUCUCCUGA
rnacentral:lncRNA from 1 species